CCUACGGGGGGCGGCAGUAGGGAAUAUUGGACAGUGGGGGAAACCCUGAUCCAGCCAUGCCGCGUGAGUGAUGAAGGCCUUAGGGUUGUAAAGCUCUUUCGCCGGUGAAGAUAAUGACGGUAACCGGAGAAGAAGCCCCGGCUAACUUCGUGCCAGCAGCCCCGGUC
rnacentral:rRNA from 1 species